UGCAGUCGAACGGUAACAGCACUUCGGUGGCUGACGAGUGGCGAACGGGUGAGUAAUACAUCGGAACGUGCCCGAGAGUGGGGGAUAACGCAGCGAAAGCUGUGCUAAUACCGCAUACGAUCUACGGAUGAAAGCAGGGGACCGCAAGGCCUUGCGCUCAUGGAGCGGCCGAUGGCAGAUUAGGUAGUUGGUGGGAUAAAAGCUUACCAAGCCGACGAUCUGUAGCUGGUCUGAGAGGACGACCAGCCACACUGGGACUGAGACACGGCCCAGACUCCUACGGGAGGCAGCAGUGGGGAAUUUUGGACAAUGGGCGAAAGCCUGAUCCAGCCAUGCCGCGUGCAGGAUGAAGGCCUUCGGGUUGUAAACUGCUUUUGUACGGAACGAAAAGGUCUUUUCUAAUAAAGAAGGCUCAUGACGGUACCGUAAGAAUAAGCACCGGCUAACUACGUGCCAGCAGCCGCGGUAAUACGUAGGGUGCAAGCGUUAAUCGGAAUUACUGGGCGUAAAGCGUGCGCAGGCGGUUAUAUAAGACAGAUGUGAAAUCCCCGGGCUCAACCUGGGAACUGCAUUAGUGACUGUAUAGCUAGAGUGCGGCAGAGGGGGAUGGAAUUCCGCGUGUAGCAGUGAAAUGCGUAGAUAUGCGGAGGAACACCGAUGGC
rnacentral:rRNA from 1 species